CUUGUCAGGGAACAAUUGUAUCCCAAUCUGAAUGUGCUCCUUCCCUGCUGGGAUCCAAGGCCAUUUCCUCUCAUCCAGAAAGGAUUCCAUGCUGGUCCUUUGGCAUUUUAUCCAUGCCGAUUGGGCACAGAAAGGAGGUGUUGCUUCCAGGAACGAGUUCACAUUGCCAGACUGCGACACACACAACUCUUAGAAAACAAAAGGAAAUUGGGUUUAGGAAAUAGUAGUAGUAAAGAAAAAAAUCCAAUACCCAAAAACCCACACAAAAAAAAUCACAAACCCCCCCCCAAACCACAAAAAGGUAAAGAAUAAGAGUAUUAACAAAAACAGAAGUUGAAGCACAGAAGUAGUAGUACUAAAUAGAAGUGAGAAUAAGACAAGCAAUGAAAAUUUGAAUGAGAUUAACAGUAGGAAAAUAAUGAGAAUAGGAGUAGAAAUUAGGAAAUUAAUAACAAAAAGCACAAGAAAAAGUGAAGGAAAAACCUUGAGAAAAAGAAAUAAGAUAUUCGAAUAAGAAUAAGAAUAAGAAUAAGAAUAAGAAUGAGAAUAAGAAUAAGAAUAGAAAAUUAAUAAGAAUAAGAAUGAGAAUAAUAAGAAGAAAAAAUCAAAGUAAGAGUAGAAAUAAGGAAAAAAUAAAGAAAAUGUAAGAAAUAGUAAAAGACAAAAAGCAUAAAAUAAAUCAUAAGAGAAAUCAAAACCAAAUUAAUAUGAAUGAGAAGAAGAAGAAAAAGAAGUAGAACAGAAAAUUAUGAGAAUAAGAGUAGAAAUAAGAAAAAGAAUAAGAAAAUUCGUCAGAAAUUGCUUAAGAAUAAGAAAAAUCAUACUAAUGUGAAUAAGAAGAACCAUAAGAAUAAAAAGAGUAAGGUAAAGGAUUGGGAAUAAGGAAUGAUGAUAAGGAUCAACAUAAGAUUAAGAAUAAAGAAAAUUCAAAAAGGGGUUAGAAUAAGGAAAGGAGUAAGAAAAAGCUUAAGAAAAGCUAAGAAAAACCAGAAGAAAAUGAAAAAGCAAAUGAAGCAGAAUAAGAAUAGAAAGAAGGACAAGGAAGAAUAAGAAGUAGGAGAAGAGCAAGAACAAGAAAUGCAAGAAGAACAAGAAGCAGAGACAGUGAGGAUGACUCAUAGUCCCUCUGAGAGCCCCAAAGCUCUCCCCAGGCUCAGUGCUGAGGCCUUGCAGCACAGCACUGCACGGGAUGCAAAGCCAUGCAGCAAUGCAGAAUGUGCUGCAAGAGACUGCCUCAAACUUCCCCCAGCCAGGGCAGGGCCCCAGGUGUUCCCCUGGCCCCAGUGUCUGUCCCUGUGCUGAGCUCCAUGUUCUGGGGGACCCCGAGCACCAAGGACAGCUGAUGGAGGGCGUCAACGGGACGCAUUGGCAUGCACAGAGGGGAGAAGUUUUUGUCCUUAUGUAUCCUUUUCCUUUUCCGCUGGUUGGGCAUGGAUAGAUGGUGACAGGGGGGCAACAAUCCCCCUCUCCCGAGCUCCAUUGAAUGCCAGCUACCAGUGUUGGUGCAGCAUAAACAAAGAGAAGCACACGGGUCCCAGGGUAACUUUAUUUGAUGGUAAAGCUUCCCCUCUUCCUCGUCCUGAGACCCGGAACUGAGAGCAGACAGUGAUGUAUAUAUGGGGGCAGGUCUCAGGGGAGGGUACAAUCUUUAACAAAUCAGGAAGAUUGGGAGUGAAAAAUAAGGUGGGGAAUACAAUGUACAAACCAAUACAAAAUUUCAGUGGAAGAGAAUAUUUUCAGUGAAUUACUAAAGUCUGAAGAAAUAGAAACUGGCAUCUAAUAACAGGAGAAGUGAGGAAAGCUCUGGGAAAAGGGCAGGGACAAAAGGAAACAGCAUAAGGACACUACAAAUCAAACAGUAAACGUACUAAUAAAACAAAAAAAACACCACAACACUUUUCCUUUUUUCUUCUGUGUUUUUGUCUAUCUUUUUCUCUCUGUUUUUCUUUUAAGGCAAAAUAAAUUUUUAGUCCACAACUAAAACCCUGUGAGCUCUGGGAACAAAAAUUAUUUGAGUUAGUUCAUCUAAUACUAAUUUUCUUCAUUUUAUUAGUGAGACCUGUGUAUAGUAGAUAAGCUUUAUGAGCAAAAGAAACAUUUUCAGCUUUCAGUGUCCUAUCCUAUUUAUCUGCAUGCAUAAAGGAUAAAAUUGUUGAAGCAUAGACUACAGUGUAAAUCAUAUAAUUUAACUCAUAGUUACAGGAACAUUAUUUUGAAAAAAAACCAUUUUGUCCUCUUCUGUGUUGUGCAAAACUUACAGAGUUCUUUGGGCCAAUAAUGAGAGUUUGGACAAGAAUAAUAUCCAGCUGAUCUGAACAUACUUAGCAUUUUCAAAAGUUAAUUCAGCUACAAUCUUUGUCAAAACAUCUUGAAAAAGAUAACACACCAUUGGAUAGAAUCAGAAUUACAGGAUCAUGGAAGGGCAAGAGUCUCACAUGGAUAAACAAUGUCUUCUUUAAGAAAAAGAUGAAUCGAUUUGAAUUUCAAAGUAGAGUAUACCACAAAUACAAAGGUUUCAAUAAAGUGAUGUCCAUUUCCCCCUAAGAAGAAGGAACAAUAUUCUGUUCAAGCUCAGAGCCCUGAAAUUCUGCUUGAAGAAACCAGACCUCCUGAUGCAUUUUAGUGAACAUAUUGAGACACAGCUGUCCAUUAUUUUGUGCAACAGCACACCACCUCCUCCUGCAAGACAGACUGUGAGCAGACACAGUGUCACCACAUGGUGUUUACAAGGGGAAGGCGUUGGAAGGUUAUCGAGCUGUCCUUCUUUGAAUAUCACUUUAAAAGGGAAAGUGCAAUCAGUGCAAAGCACCAAACGAAGAAGAUUCCUGCUCGUCUCUGUGUGCUUCUCAUGGUUUGUAAAAUCAGAGCUUGGACUUCAAGGUUUUCCUUGGUUUCCCAAAUGCUGCAGCCUUCUCUCAGCAGUGGUGGGUUUGGCAAGUGAGUGUCUGGUAAAAGCCAUGGUGUUAACACACUGUGACCCAUGAUUUUACUGCUUGGGGCUGGAAAUAUACUGAGGAACUGACUGCUUCAACAGGUUUUAAAAACUUCUAAACUCCUUUUCUACAGCUCACACCAUUUUCAUCACAUCCAUACUUUUACCAGCUUUGGGUUGCCACUUUACAAUGUCAUUCAUUUUCAAGGUGUGUAAGCAUGCAGGUUAUUUUUUUUUCCAAAGAGUAAAUAUUUAUAUUGUAGCUGCAGGAAAAAAAUGAAAAAAUAAGAAAAGAAAGUAUAUAAAAUUAAAGUGCAAUUUUUCUCUCUCAAAUAAGGAAUUGGAAGGUAUAUAUAUAUAUAUUUUAACUGAGCUUGGACAGACCAUAUGUAGCCGAAAAGCAGAGGCAGAAAAUUAUACCAGGCUGACAGAAUAAAGAGUCAUAUUGUUAAUGCUGAAUGUUUUAUAAAUUACCUGCCCUGGAAUGUCAGAUUUUCCAGUUAAACCAAAAUAAUCUGGAUUAUGUAAUCUCAAAUUCAUUGAGAACAGAUUUCUUUGAGCAGAGCUUUUGUCCUUCAGAAUUUCUGACACAGAUUUUUUUUUAUAUUUUUCCUGCAGCAACUUAAUAGUCAAAGUUACAAAACUAAAUUUUUACUUUAAAACAAAAGAGUCAUUUCUGUUAGAAUAACAAGAUAUGGUUCUUUGCUGCUUCAAGUCAUGCACUUAAGUCCACAGUGGCAUGCAAUGGCAAAAUUACAAACAUAAAUUCUUUACAUAAAGAAUUUAAAGACAGCAUUUGCACUGAUGGCCUUAGUCUGUUUGAUAUUUUACACCGAGGAAAUGCACCAAUCCAUUUUAAAUUCUUCCAUUUUAUCACUGAUUUUGAUGGUGCUUCUCCACCAAAAAGCAACGCAGCCAUUUCACUUUGGUUAAAUGGAGCAAUCUAUAAAUAUUACAGCAGGUAAACAGCAAAGGUUUUAUAGUAAAAAAAACCCCAAGAAUUAUUAUAGAGACCAAUGUACACUCAAAUGACAUUCUAAAUACUUGUGUACUGUCACAGUGUGAACUAAGCAGAAAUUUUUUUUUUUUUUUUUAAUAUGCACUGCUGUCACUUGAAGAGGUGAAAAUGAAGGAAUUGGGUGAAGAGCAGCAGUGCUGGCAGUGGAGGAGGGGAGCAGAGAAUCCUUGAUGUACAUAAAUAUUUCUAUGUCAGGCUCAUGUCAAGCACUGAAGUGUGCUUUGGUUUGGGGUUUUUUUUAACUUUUCUGAUGGUUUCCAAAACUGCCUUUCUCCCUGGUUUCAGUUUAAAAUCAGUUUAUUGCAGUCUCAGUGUCUGAAUCUUGCUGUAGGUUUACAUUCAUGUAAAAUUAAUCUUUACAGAAUCAUACACAGGAUAUCAAUAUUAGACCAUAGGUAUGAGUGGCACCUGUGAUAGUAAAAUAAAUGCAAUUUGAGAGCCUCUUGCCUUGUCAAUAUUUUAACUAUGCAUAACUCUUUCUCAGGGAAAAGUAGGGUAAGAUAAAAGGAAUUUCUGAGCACUCUGGUGAAUCCUGAAAUAGCUUUAUUCCAGAGGGUACUUUUAAUUUUUGGGACAAUAUUAGUAGGACUAGAUAAAUAUUAAUACUCCUAUAUUAAAUUCUCUAGGGCACUGUGUAAGCCUAUGCUUCACCUUACAACAAAAGCUUCACUUUAUAAUUCAGACUAAAACAAAGUCCCCAGAUGUGUAUAUUGCAAACAGUCCAAUUCUCACAGUGAAUAUUAUUCCAGCCCCAAAACAGUUUUAUUGACCCAAGAUGACCAAGGACUGAUGCAUUAUUCAGCAGGUUUGUGUGGUGUAGUUUCAGGAGAGCAUGAAGACAUUUCCUGGUCUAGUACAUUUAAGACAGUCAAGAAAGAUAAAGCUGAGAAGAAAACUUUUAUUUGAUAAUUUCUCACUUUUAUUCCAGUAAAUAGCUCAUUCCUUAUUUGCCUUUAAGUAAGGUUAAUAAUUCCUACUAAUUUCAGUAGGGUUGACAAGCCCUACUCAUAUUGUCCUAAAAAUUAACCUCAUUUAUAUUCCAAUUUACUCAGUUGUUAUCCAAGUUAAAUUACCUUGUUAUUCUGCUGUGCAAAAUACAGUGUGUGCUACCCUUUGUAAGGACUUUGGGACCUUAAUUUCUGUUUGUUUUCAAAACCGACCACCUAUAAUCAUAAUUCUUGCCUUUGACUACAUAUCUUCUUUUUUAUGUUUUCCCUGUUUUCUACUUUUUUUUUGCCUUUUAUUUUUUUGCUAAGACAGUUUGAAAAUUCCUUUUUGAAUUGUCAUGUAUUUGAUGAAAUUUAUUUGUGUUUGAGAUUAGUCUCAUGCAUGUGUGUGCUUGAUUUCUUGGACUUUUAUGUAUGUUCAAAACUGUCCAUGUAAAAUUUAAUCUAGGAUUUUAUGAUCCAGAGGUUUAUUUAAUUUAAUUUUUUUAUAAUCCAUUAUUUUGACAGUCUUGACUAAAUUACCCUGGUAAAAAAAUUACCUUCCUAAUCAUCCUAUAACAUUUUUUUAAGCAUCAGCUUUCCUGGAAAUAUGAUAAAUGUGCUAGAAUUAUUACUCACUAGAUUUCCAGUUGUUGGUAGGAUGAAUUGCACAGCGUAUUCUUUUUCUAUCUUGGGUUCUGAAAAGUAAUAGAAGUUUCGUUAUAGUAGGUAAGGUGAAUUUCUUUGUUGGACUGACAAAAAAUAUUAGUGAAAGAAGAUGACUACAGAAACUAUAAAGUAGAUACAUGGAGGUACAUGAUUGUGAGAAGGAUAUUAUGCUUUGAACCUUGACAGAUGAGUAAAGAACAAAAAAGUUGACCAAAAAAGAGGAUUAAAGAGGGUUUAGAAGCUAUCUACAGGAGUCACUGAAGAUUUUAGCUGUGAUUAUAUAAAAUCUGAAUUCUGGGAUAUCAGAAGAAGAGGCAGGAAAAGUUAGACCAGGAAACGCAUAUUAUAGUCAGUUUGGGAGUAUAAAUUCAAAAGGGUUGGAGACAUCAACUUUUUAGAAUGUGUCAAUUUCUCAUGAGGUUUGGUUGACACUAAUUUAGGCUCUGAACAAGUAAAACUUUCUCUGUUUCCAGGUCAUAUUUUCAUUAGUUCCUUGCUAAGCAAUUUUUUUGCCCAAAUAUCUGUGUGGCUUCUGGUAUUAUUUACAUUAAAAUGCCUCUUAUAGUCCCGUGAAGUUCUGAACAAUGUGAGGCAAAAUGUCCACCUGCAUGUUUGUCUCUAGAAGAAGCACAACUCUAGCACAACUAUUCCAGAUGCAGAGAAAUGCCAGCUUCAAAUAAUGAUCUGAGAUAUCCACUUUAAUAGUAGAGCUUCAGAAAUCAUCAGUUUAAGAUUUUUCUAGACUAGACAAUCUAACACAUUUUACAGAAAAUAAUGAAAUCUCAGUACCUAACACCUCACUAUUUUUUUAAACUAUAAAAUUUUAGACUGACAAAAAUCAUUCUGCUACAACCCUUAGACACUUUCCCUGCAAAAUCCAAAUGAAAUAUAUAUUUUUCUCUCUGGAAACAGCUACUUUUUUGCAGCAGGUCUAUAUAGAACCAGUAGUAGGUAGUUUGCACUCAAUCAUUUAGCAUGCAUUUCAUGCUAACUUUAAAUAUGGCCUUUGGAUAUUUGGAGUUUAUUGCUGACUUCAGUAGAAGUUGAACAUGUUUUCCAAGCCAAACACAAAAGUAGUAAGUUUAUACAAAUGUUUAUGCAAGUUUAUGCACGUAUGCAUACUUAGAUAUGUUUCAAUUUCAUUCCCAGGCAAACAUUUUCUAAUCUGCUCAGCUAAAGCUUACAUUAACACAGAGUAAAAGAGUUACUACUAAAAAAAAAACCACAAAAAACCAAAAAACAACCCAAAACAACAACAACAAAAAAACAACAAAAAACCAACAACAACAAAACCACAAACAAAAAACAAAGUAAAUCACAGUCAUGUUUGAACUAAUACAAUUCAUUGUGACAUAUACUCAUAAACAAAGAGGUAUGAAAAAACAAACCAAAAGAAAACAAGAACAUCCGAAAAGAUCCCCAGUUAAACAAGGAAGCAAUAAAAAAAGAAAUACAAAAACCCAGGCAAUUUAGUUGCACCUAGAAUUUCUUCAAUCUUAUUUUAUUUCCUGUUCUUUGGAAGGUAGGUAGAAAACAUGGUGAGGAGCUAAGGCAUGGUACAAUUGGCAUCAAUUAAAUUACUGCAAUUUAUUGUUUGUUCUAGAUCAACACAUGCAGGUUGUGAAAGAGAUAAAGCCCUGGUGAACAUGGCACAGUUACACCAUACUGAUAAUAUCUGGUUGUUGAGCUCUGCUAAAUUGUUGUCCUUAGGACUAUCAUUUUACUUAAUUUACAGGCAUGAAUUGGAAUUAGUUUUUACAUGACAAAGGCAACAGAUGUGCUUGGAAAACCAGAGGGCUCAUUUGCAGUCUGUCAGGCUCUGGGAUUGCUGGCAAAGAGCAAGGAUUUUAGUUGCAUUUUUUUAAAAUGAUGGGAAAUGGCGGUUCAGAUGACAAAGCCAGCAGUGAGCUUCCUGUUACCAAGUGGAUUUGCAGCACAGAAAAAUAAAAAAUUAAUACACACAUCAGUGCAAUCUGAAAAUAUUUUUCACAGUUGGAAGUGCUGAGGUCAUUUGCUGAGAACAGUUAAACUCUCUCCUUAGAGACUUCAGAGACAUCAUAAACCAGCCAUGGAAAUCGUCAUGUGAAAACCUUCAGUGAUUUUCGACAGAAGUGUGUGGAGGGCAGAUGAGGAAAGGGCAGAUGAGGGAAGGAGCUGAGGCCCUUUUAAGUGCUCUGUCACUCUGGUAGGCAGCUGAGGGUCUGCACAGAGCUGCCAAAAUGUGACUUGGCUGCUGUUUUCAGGGAGGGCUGCUUUGCUGUUUCUCCCAACUUCUCCUUUUGGCCUUUACUGAUUCAUAAAUUUUUAUUUUUCCCUGGACCUUUUGUACUAAGUGAAUCAUAAUUUCUCUUUUUUUUUUUUUUUUCCAUUUUUUUUCUUCUCUCCAUCUUUGACAGUAGUUAUUCUGGUGUCAAGAAGUCAAGAACAUCUUUCUGUUUUCUCAUACUUUUAAGACAUCUCUAGAAAAUAUCCCUGUAAAAUUCUUUUUACCUUCUCUAUAUUAAUUCACCAAUUUGUGUCUUAUAACACCCAUGAGACACCCAUGAAGAAAAUCAGUGGCACGCUUAUAGACCAAAGUUUCUCAUGAGUUGUGCUGCUAUUGAGCAGCAUUCUUAGUUAUUUAUUGAUUUUAUAUGAUCAAAUAUUUCUCUGAAGGUUUAAGAAAAACAUUUCAUUUCAUACAUUAACAUUUUGUUAAGAAAAACAUUUCUGGAUUAGCAUGGCACAACCAGCCACAGAAAAGAUUACCAUGUAGGCAGAAAUAUUCUUUCCAAAUCCUCUUAAUUUUACAUGUGUAAGUGGCUUUGUGUUUUCAAAUAUGGCAAAUUAAUUCAAUAGCAUCUGGUCCCAUUAAGUAAUGACAAUAGCAGGUUUGUAGGGGGAAAGGGUGUUUUUUUGUGUGAAUGGCCACAAAUUUGGAGAAUUGACCCCAGUUCUCUGCUUGGACAAAUGUUUUCCAUUUUUCUGUAGUCAAGUCACUCAUAACAAAAUUUCAGAAGAUCCUGGGCAACCUGGAUCUAGCAAAUCCAUUUCCAGAAAUCAUGUAAACAAUAAAAAAUGGGCUUUCAAAGAGAAAUAAGGUAUGUUUUCAGAAUGGAACUGUGUGCACUGUGAAGUAGCUCUACCCAAAAUUUGUAUUACAAGCUGACUGACAAAAAAAUCCCUCUGCUCAACCACUCCCUUGCAGUACUGUUCCCUGUGUGUGAGGGUCCCAUCCAGAAAUGUGAUCUUUUGAAAAGAAGCUGAUCAGAAUGGCAAAUCAUCCUUGCCCCAGCUUCCUCACACUGUUGCUAUUUAAGUAAUCUGAGCAGAGUAUUCAAUAGGUCACUAUUCUCAGUAUAAUUUAUGACUUUUUGAUAAGAACUGCACUUUAGCUUUAUUUUCUUCUUUUCACUGGGGACAAAACCUUUUAUUGUGGAGUAUGACUUCAUCCACAGUGCAUUUAUGGGUUUUUUAGGAUUUUUUCCUGUGUUUAAAUCUCAGGUUUUAGUCCUGAGAUUAAUACUUUCAAAUACAGUGCCAGUGCCUGGUAAAAAGACACUACAGAGCCAAAGCUUUAAUUUCCAUGAAUACAUAUUGUGCAUGAUUUUUUAGGGUAGACAGUCCCUCUCUUUCUACUAGAUCUGAUUUUUGUAUACUUUUUAACAUUUGGGCAUACAGAAUAAAGAAGAAUGGCAGGGCAUGGAACAAGAUUAACUUUAAAGUCCCUUCCAACCCAAACCAUUCUGGGAUUCUGUGAAAUUCAGUUGUGUUGGACUCCAUGUUUCUACAACUCAAAAGAAAAAGAAAAAAAAGAAAAGAAAAAAAAAAAAAACAAACACAAAAAAAACCCCCAAAACCCCAAAACAAAAAAAAAAAAAAGAGAAUUGCACUUAUUUCAUAACUGGCAAUAUGAAAAUAUUAUUUUAUCUUCACAUUAGACAAAUGUGGAUAAUAUCCUGUGUUUUUCUGGACUCAGCCUUCCUCACUGGGUGUGCCUGAUAUGAUGAACAUUAUAAACAUUUUAUCCCCAGUCCUGGCAUUUGUCCAUAUUUAUUUAUUAAUUAGGAGUGUAUACAUGUCUAUGGAACAGCUUUAAUUUCUUCCUCUUUUUACCACUAUCCAGUUCAUUUCCUGGUUCUCAGCAUUUCCACUGAGAAAUGACUGAGCUAGUAAGAAAUUUUACAUAAUUGUUAUCAGGAAUUGUCAAUAAACAUGUAUUAUUAGAUAAUCCUCUCUUAACAUUUAAUUUUGCAAUUUUCUCAAUUUUUGUCCUCUUGCCAUAAUCUUUUUCUUGCUCCAGUCUGCCAUUCUUAAUGGAAUUACAUAUAUUCUCAUAUUAUUUACCAGGUUUCAUUAUUUUAGGUGUUUCCAUCAGGGGUUUGAUACUGUUUUUUAUCCCCCUGCAAAGAAAACUUUUUAAAUUUACCUUUCCCUAGAAUGUGCAUAAGAUGACCUGUUAGCACAUGUUGUCCAGCCUUGCAGAGCUGGUGUCACAGCUUCCCAUUUUUCUGUAUAUUCUCUGCGUAGCUUAUAGCUGUAUUUGUUACUUGUGACACAUCAGUGCCAAUAGAAAUAUCAAUAUUAAUCAAUAAAUUGUCAUUUUCUUUACUAUUCUGUGUGUCAUAACUAUGCUUUUUUCCUCAUACUCCUUUGCAAGGAAAGAAGAAUACUUUUUCAGGGGCAGGAGUGCUGAAUUAAUCUUUAAAAAAAGUUUGCUCUUGGCACUUAUGAAUGCAGAAUAUACAAUCGAAAUCACACAGACCUUUAUAAGGAAUUAGAGCAAGGACCAGUUAUCUACAGCUAUUCUGCAGUUCUUGUUCAUUGCAAAAGAGGAUUGGACUACCUUUUUAUUUUAAAAAAGUUCUCGAAAGAAAAGGUAUAAUGAAAUAAUUUAUUUCAAACAUACAGAAGAAUAACACACAAAAAUUGCUCUAAUUACACUUAUUACAGUUCAUUUCAGCCUAUGAGUACUGUGAUUUUUAAUUCCAUGUUCAUUCUGGCAAAAAUCCAGCAUGUUUGUACCUUGCUAAGGGAGAGAGAUGUAUUGGUUAUAGAGAAAUACACAGUACUGCCAAGGAAACUCCAAAACCAGGGAAUUAUACAGGUGCCUAAGAACAUCAGCCAGAUGUAGAUGGUGACAGACAUUAGGCAAUUUUCCCAGAAAAAAAAAAAAUCUGUAGCAAAACACAAUAAUCAUAUGCUAGUGACAUUGAGGCAGGAAUAUAAAAUAAUUUCAGUUUUUAAGAGGAAAAAAAAAAAGAAAAAAAAACCCAACAUGCAUUUUUUUCAAUCCCACUCUCAGUCAGUUGGCUGAUACACGAUUUAAUUUUAGGAGGUUUUUUUCAGUCACUGAUCUCAGAUGCCAUUCUCCAUCAUCAGCCCACAGCAUUCUAUAAAGUUAAGAGGAUUCUGUUUAGAUCCUGCUUCUUGUUAGAUUUCUUCCUAAUUCUUCUUGUGUUUCUCCAUUCUCCAUUGAUCCAAGCAGGCCUGUGGUCAUGAACUUGGGCAGAGGAGAGAAGUUUUAUUUUAGGUUGAAAGAAAAUGAGAAGCAAACCAAGAUCUGUCCUUUGGUGUAAGUCUAAAAACCUACCUCAUACUUCACGACUCUUAGAAAAGAAAAAGGCAGAAGAUAUAAAGAUAAAUCACAAACAGCAGUGACUGGAGCCCUAAUCCUCGUUGCUGCCUCUUCAAAAAAAGGACAGGUCACUAUUUCACCUUACCCAACCAGAUUCCACCAUGUCACAGAUGAGUGUGUGCAGUUUGGAAGGGCAGGCCUUACACAGGUUUGGUGUUAUGCUGCCUUCAGAAUCAGUGUUUUAGAAUAUAUGCAAAUAAUUUCAGCAUCUUGCUGCUCAAGAUAAAAGAAUAUGCUGAGGUUUGUGUCAUCUGAACUGUGCCAGUAACUCAAGAUGAAGUUUACAAACAAGAGAAAAGAGUAGAGAGACAGAGUAUUAGGUAGGUAGAUAUAAAAAUUCAAGAAGAAUAGAAUAACUGUAAUUUUUAGGAAAAGCUUAUGUAGCCUAGGCAUAAGGUUUUUGGGGGUUUCUGGCCUACUGUAUGAGCUGUUUAUUCUAUUGACAAUUGUCUCUCACCACCUGCAUGAAAAACUGUUUUGCAGUACUUAUGAUUAAAAAAAAAAAAGAAAAAAUAAAAAGAAAGUUAAGUUUUAUGUCUGUGCAAUUUUAGUUUCAGCACACAGCUGAGUUCUGUUUUUACUUUUCAGAAAGGUUUUUCUUACACAGCUUCAUGCAAAGGAACCAUGGUUCUUCCUUGACUCCUUCUUCUUACCUCAUGAACUCAGAAGAAGACAAAAAUCACCCUUCCACCAAAAACCAUAGUUUAUAAUUUCUACCUCAUUCAACUCCACACAGAUUUAUCUCUACAGGAAACAGAGCAAAUAAUAAGAGCUGAUUUCUCAGGUGCUUCAGACCUUAGCAAGAUUUGCAGCAGCUGCUCUCCUCAGCCUUUCUUUUUGGCCAUAUUUUGCUGCUUCUAUAUUUUCUACAUUCCAGAAUAAUUCAGGUCCUGAAGCAGUCAUUUUGUAACAACCUUCACUCACCUGUAAAACAAGCCAUGCAGUACAUGAAGUUUAAACUAAGCCACUGUGGAUUCUUCCUAAGCCUGGCCUCCAAGCUAAAAAUCUCUACUCUGAAAACUGGAUACUCACUUCUGCAUCCAUCUCUUUGUAGAUGCAAGCUUGACACCCAUGUUCAGCCUCCUUGAUGAAGUGACUUUGACAACAGCAAGCCGUGGAGAUGCUGGUUCAGGCAGCACUUGGUCAAGGGUGUUGCUUCUUCUCAGAAGUGGAAUAAAUCAC